GAUGAACGCUGGCGGCGUGCCUAAUACAUGCAAGUCGAACGCUUCACUUCGGUGAAGAGUGGCGAACGGGUGAGUAAUACAUAAGUAACCUGGCAUCUACAGGGGGAUAACUGAUGGAAACGUCAGCUAAGACCGCAUAGGUGUAGAGAUCGCAUGAACUCUAUAUGAAAAGUGCUACGGGACUGGUAGAUGAUGGACUUAUGGCGCAUUAGCUUGUUGGUAGGGUAACGGCCUACCAAGGCGACGAUGCGUAGCCGACCUGAGAGGGUGACCGGCCACACUGGGACUGAGACACGGCCCAGACUCCUACGGGAGGCAGCAGUAGGGAAUUUUCGGCAAUGGGGGAAACCCUGACCGAGCAACGCCGUGUGAAGGAAGAAGUAAUUCGUUAUGUAAACUUCUGUCAUAGAGGAAGAACGGUGGAUAUAGGGAAUGAUAUCCAAGUGACGGUACUCUAUAAGAAAGCCACGGCUAACUACGUG
rnacentral:rRNA from 1 species